GUUUGAAUGUUCUAUUUGCUUAACUGAAGACAUUUCCUAUAAAGCAAAGAAUCUACAUGUUUAUUUUUAUCUUUGAGGAGACGCACAGCUUCAUUAAAUUAUUUUACAUAGCUGAGGAAUUCAAGAUUUCAACAGUUGAGAAGAUAUGCUACUGGGACACUAGAUUAACAUGUUCCUUUGAUCCAGUAACGAGAUAGAGCCAAGUUACUCUGGGAGUUAAGUGACACUUGCUAAGUGGAAUGUUAUGGUGAGAUUAGAGGAAAGGAGCACCCAUUUGCAGACCAUCUGUCUUCCAAAUUUUCUACGUACAAAAUCGUCCUCAAAGAGCUGUUUCAGAAUCAAUAAGUUUCUCCUGAGAGGCUCUGGAGCAAGAAGGGACUUGAGUGAAGACAGCCUUACGUCAAUAAAGGGAGAGCCUUGGAUGGCACGCAUUAAGAUAUCAAAGUCAUCGCAAGAUGGAAAGAUCGUGGAUCCCUCAAAGUCUUUGCCUAUGACUGAAAAAUAAACAACAUUGUUUUAAGCUACUGUGUUUUAAUGUUUUAAGCAUUAACUAUCUUGACUAAUAGAUAUUGUCAGAAAAAAUAAACCUAAAAAAUAAUACCA
rnacentral:lncRNA from 1 species